CUGGCUCCGCCCCCGGAAGCAACGACCUCCGGACUGCGCUCAAGGGUUUGGUUUCCCACGCGGGCCCCGGCAGGCUCCCAGUGCAGGACCGAGGGGUUGCGGCUAGUUCAACCACCGUAGAGCCAGCCGGCCGCGCCCAGCGCUGACUCACGACGCGCUCGCGACGCACACACUGCUGACCUCACUCCAGCUGAGCUGCGCGACCUCCAGCAACUCUGCUGCUUCUGAAAACCGAGGUCAGAAUGCCUCCCCAGCGGAGUCGUCACAAAGAAGCUCCCCUCUAGGGGAUCGACUCAAGAGCAUCACUUUUCCAUGGCAGUGAAGAGAGUUCUACGAAAUAAACUUCUAAACACCAUCUGAGCCUGUUCUUGCACAACAGAGUGACUAAAGAAAAGAAAUUUGGGCCAAAAUCCAAGUUCCUGUCCUCUUUUAUAACAGAAAUUGGUCAAAGGCUUCACAUUGUGUGAAACUGACUGAAAAGGAGUAACAUCACCUACUGAAUGUUUAAGCCAAAAUCUAUCUGGUCUCUGGAACCUACGGUAAAAGUUCAGAGAAGAACACCCAAUCUGGCAAGAAAGAAUACUGAAAGGAAGGCACAUUUCUCCUUCCAGAAUGGAGAAAACUAAGGAUCCAAUCAGGUGUAUGGGUAUUUCAGAGUAAUAAAGGACCUCUCAGGAAAAUGGAGACACUCAUCAAAAAGCAGAGUAUCCUGCCCUGGCAAGUGUGAUUCAGUUGGUUAGAGCGACAUCAGGAUAUACCAAGGUUAUGGGUUCAAUCUCCCGUGAGGGCACAUACAAGAAGCAAACAAUGAAUGCAUAAAUAAAAGGAACGACAAAUCCAUGUUUCCCUCUC